rnacentral:rRNA from 1 species
UAAUGUAUGGGGAUCUGCCCGAUAGAGGGGGAUAACUACUGGAAACGGUGGGUAAUACCGCAUAAUGUCUACGGACCAAAGCAGGGGCUCUUCGGACCUUGCACUAUCGGAUGAACCCAUAUGGGAUUAGCUAGUAGGUGGGGUAAAGGCUCACCUAGGCGACGAUCUCUAGCUGGUCUGAGAGGAUGAUCAGCCACACUGGGACUGAGACACGGCCCAG